rnacentral:rRNA from 1 species
GCCUAACACAUGCAAGUCGAACGGAACUUUUUUAAUUGAUUUCUUCGGAAUGAUUUUGAUUAAGUUUAGUGGCGGACGGGUGAGUAACGCGUGAGUAACCUGCCUCUGAGAGGGGAAUAACAUUCUGAAAAGAAUGCUAAUACCGCAUAAUAUAUAUUUAUCGCAUGGUAGAUAUAUCAAAGAUUUAUCGCUCGGAGAUGGACUCGCGUCCGAUUAGUUAGUUGGUGAGGUAACGGCUCACCAAGACCGCGAUCGGUAGCCGGACUGAGAGGUUGAACGGCCACAUUGGGACUGAGACACGGCCCAGACUCCUACGGGAGGCAGCAGUGGGGGAUAUUGCGCAAUGGGGGCAACCCUGACGCAGCAACGCCGCGUGAAGGAUGAAGGUCUUCGGAUUGUAAACUUCUUUUAUUAAGGACGGAUAAAGUGACGGUACUUAAUGAAUAAGCUCCGGCUAACUACGUGCCAGCCGCCGCGGUAAAAC